AGCAUUUUGAUAUAUAUUUGACCAUCAUGCGAUGCUUAGAAGUUGCCAAAUUUAACCUCUGAAGUUGGUUAUCGCGUGCGAACUUUUCCGUCGCCAUAUUGAUGCCGUGUGACGUCAUAAGAUGAACGGAAACGAAGAUAUGAAGGUCGUAUUUGUAGUAAAUUAUAUGGCGCGUCAACAUAUUGCAGUGGAAUUCUUGUCUAUUUCACUUGUUUAUGGCGCAGAUAACUGAUUUUUAAAAAUCGAAGAACAAGUGCUAUAUCUUAUUGUUUAUUUGACGGCGGAAUGAUGGUUAGAGAUUCAGAUAAUAGGGUCAGUACUGCAUCUGGAAGUCAACGAGUAUGGACUAAGUCGGCUUUGAAAUACGAUGAUGAACCAGUUGGCUAAACAGCUUUUAUACAGCUUCACUAGACGAAGUGAUAGAGAAAUUAUAUAACGCCGCUGCAGAUAGGCAACUACCAUCUGUGACUGUGUUGGAGCAAUCAAGCGAUGGUACAAUACCUGUAAAAUUAGUGGUAAGUAGAUCCUUUUUAUUGCAUGUAUGUAUAUAUAAACGGUAUUGUGCCUCGGUAUGUAUAUGCCUCGGUAUUGCGUCUGAACACAUCUGGUGUGUGUAACUUAAUAUUUAGUAUGAACUGGAUUGUGUGUGACAAAAAUAUAUAAAACGUUUAUAAACACAAGCAUAUUCAUAGCUAAUAAUUCGCAAUACUCAAAAUGAUUUUGAUUUUGUUUUCAAUAGAUAGCGAUAUGUGUAAUUGGCAAUUACGGGCUGUGGUUCUAUUGAUGGCUAUAGUUUUACUUGGAUGGGAAACAGAAGAAAAUAAUUUCCAACAACAGAGACACAGCUGCCUUACGUUUGAACAGAAAAGCGGUCGACUUUAGUUGGAUUAGGCAGAUUGUGACUGAGUCAGUUAACCAUUGAGUCAAAAUUGUGCCACUGUGCAAUAUCACAUUUACUGUAAUAUUUUGAAAUUAUAUUAAUCUUCAAAGUCACAAAUAUAUUUCUCACAUAAAUAGCGUACCAG